AUUGAACGCUGGCGGCAGGCCUAACACAUGCAAGUCGAGCGGAUGAAGGGAGCUUGCUCCUGGAUUCAGCGGCGGACGGGUGAGUAAUGCCUAGGAAUCUGCCUGGUAGUGGGGGAUAACGUCCGGAAACGGGCGCUAAUACCGCAUACGUCCUGAGGGAGAAAGUGGGGGAUCUUCGGACCUCACGCUAUCAGAUGAGCCUAGGUCGGAUUAGCUAGUUGGUGGGGUAAAGGCCUACCAGGGCGACGAUCCGUACCUGGUCUGAGAGGAUGAUCAGUCACACUGGAACUGAGACACGGUCCAGACUCCUACGGGAGGCAGCAGUGGGGAAUAUUGGACAAUGGGCGAAAGCCUGAUCCAGCCAUGCCGCGUGUGUGAAGAAGGUCUUCGGAUUGUAAAGCACUUUAAGUUGGGAGGAAGGGCAGUAAGUUAAUACCUUGCUGUUUUGACGUUACCAACAGAAUAAGCACCGGCUAACUUCGU
rnacentral:rRNA from 1 species